CCACUGAAUUUUACAGUGCACAUAAUUUACGCCCGCAUGCAAAACGACAAACCUUUCGGGAAGUUGUUUGAUACCAAAAUAUUGUGUUUUAAAUAACAAAAAUAAUAUUAUAAUAUGAUUGCACAAUAUUUGCAAAUUGUGAAUUUUUUCGCUGCGCAAUCGCGUUAUUGUGUUUCCUCUGAUAUUAUAUCGUAUAGUAAAAAUGUGAAAAUUUGCCCGAUCAAUUGUCACGUCUCGUUUGUAAUUAAUUAUUACGUUAAAAAUACUUAAAAAGAUUUCCGCAAAAUAACAAAACAAAAUUCUAAACGAAU